UACAUAGGGUGCAAGCGUUGUCCGGAAUCAUUGGGCGUAAAGGGAGUGUAGGUGGUUUUGUAAGUUAAAUGUGAAAUCCUAUGGCUUAACCAUAGAACUGCAUUUAAUACUGCAUGGCUAGAGUGUGGAAGAGGAAAUUGGAAUUCCUAGUGUAGCGGUGAAAUGCGUAGAUAUUAGGAGGAACACCAGCGGCGAAGGCGGAUUUCUGGGACACAACUGACACUGAGACUCGAAAGCGUGGGGAGCAAAC
rnacentral:rRNA from 1 species